rnacentral:rRNA from 1 species
GAUGAACGCUGGCGGCGUGCCUAAUACAUGCAAGUCGAGCGAAUGGAUUAAGAGCUUGCUCUUAUGAAGUUAGCGGCGGACGGGUGAGUAACACGUGGGUAACCUGCCCAUAAGACUGGGAUUACUCCGGGAAACCGGGGCUAAUACCGGAUAAUAUUUUGAGCUGCAUGGUUCAAAAUUGAAAGGCGGCUUCGGCUGUCACUUAUGGAUGGACCCGCGUGGCAUUAGCUAGUUGGUGAGGUAACGGGACACGAAGGCAACGAUGCGUAGCCGACCUGAGAGGGUGAUCGGCCGCACUGGGACUGGGACACGGCCCAGACUGCUGCGGGAGGCAGCAGUAGGGAAUCUUCCGCAAUGGACGAAAGUCUGACGGAGCAACGCCGCGUGAGUGAUGAAGGCUUUCGGGUCGUAAAACUCUGUUGUUAGGGAAGAACAAGUGCUAGUUGAAUAAGCUGGCACCUUGACGGUACCUAACCAGAAAGCCACGGCUAACUACGUGCCAGCCGCCGCCGUAA